GGGCGUUUACCCCCACUGAGGGUAGAAAAUUUCAAAAAGAUCACUAUAAAGCUCUCACAUCUCCACUCUCUCCCCUUUGUCUCUCCUACUCUAGCCCUCCAAGUCACUCUUAACUCUUGCAAAUGCAUCCAAUCGUACCGGGCGAUCUCUUCACCCGCUCACUCAGUUUAAGGGACCUCAAUGGUCCAUUGAACUUUCCUGCUCGUUCUCUUCGGGCUUUUCAUUUUCCUCAAGGCGUUCAUUCCAUAGUUUUUGAAGUACUAGACGUUCACAAUCAGCCAUUUCAUUUUCGCUUAUCCAAACGUCGAGUUGGUCCAUACCCAAAACCAGUUAUCUGCCAAGCCCUUUGGCGUCAGUACGUGAUGCAAAAAAAUCUCCGAGAGCACGAUAGAGUUCGUCUCAGGAGGGAGAAAUACUCAGUUGGAGGAGUCGUGACGUACAGGUACAGAGUUAUUGCCCAGAGGAGAAUGUUUUGCUUAUUUGGUGAGGAUAUAUGGGUUAAUGUGGAACAAUUGCAGGAGCCUCAUUAGCUACCAUACAUUCUGUUGGGUGUUUUGGUUCAUGCAGUUUUUUCAGUUUGUAGCAAUUCUUAGGGCCCCUUUUGGAUCUCCCCCUCUCUCUCCUGAUACAUGAGCACCAAACAAAAGGCUUGUGAUUUUACAUGUCUACUUCUUCUAAUUCACAAUUCUUAGAUUCUGGUUUUUGGCUUUGUUACAUUAUUCAUCAAAAUGGUUUGAAUUAUACUUUCACUUCAAUAAGGUAUGGGAUGGAAAAAAUAAUGCAAGAUGGGCCUUUAAAUACACAGGAAUUGCAGUAAAUUAGUUAAAUCCAAUUGAAAGAACCAUGAUGGGAGAGAACACCAUGAGAGAUCUGGGCCAAUAAAGUAAGGCAAAAACACUAAAAAAUGAAGAUUCAGUAGUAGAGGUCGGAUACAGGAUUAUAUACUCCAGAAUCCCUUUCAUUUUGCAAAGAUUUUCAUUCUAAACUUAUAAUGUGAUUUCAUAUUAAUUUGGAGAUCGCUUGGUUAUCAUGUCAAG
rnacentral:misc_RNA from 1 species